rnacentral:lncRNA from 1 species
AGAAAACCAAAAGAAAAAUAUAUGGAAUUGUAUUAGUAUGAACUAAACUCACUCCGGAAGCACAAUUCAUUGAAGAAUUUUUUCAAACACUUAGAGACAAAAGUCUUAGCAUGUUAAAUUUCUAUACACAGAAGUCUAAUUCUUCAAGAAACAUAAAUUUCUAACAUGCCAUCAAAGAUGAAAGAAGCACAAGAUGAGGACCAACAUACACACCUGUGGAGCGAGGAAAAAUCAUUAAAGUGCAAUUAGCAACAAUAACAGUGAGAGAAAGCAGAGAUUGCAAGAAGGUGUUCAGAGAGGGAAACUUCUAGAUCAUGUUAUGACUGAUAAUACGAAGCGGUCACUAACCCGGAUGUAAAAAAUGGAAGUGCACGCAUUGAGCCACCAACAGAAAAACCAAGCGCCGAUCAUAAUCUAGGCGGUUACUUUGCUGUUGUUAGUGUUAGGGUGCCUACAACUGUUUUAAGAGAAAUUAAAGACAGAACCUGAAUUACCAGAAUAACCUCUAGCGGCAAG